rnacentral:lncRNA from 1 species
GUUAUCGUAUGCCCUUCGGGGAAGUGGGUCCGGAGAAUGUGGCGUGGAUGCAUGGUGGAGGUGUAUCCGGUGAUAAAGCUGGCUUUCCAGGUAAUUUGCUGCAUGGUCAAGGUGUUAAGGAAGGUAAUAGCUCCGCCUGUGAUCACUGUCAUGCCCCUUCUCAAAGAAGUCAGGUGGGUUUCGACCAGACUAAUAUGGGAAACGGUC